GUUAGGGUUACUUCAUUAUUCACAAUAUAAAUUGCUGAAACCUCUCUUCAUAAAAUUCCCGCAGCUUCUCUCACUAGUUAGGUUCAACAAAGGGUUUGGUUCUGAGUUUGGGUUUCAUUCUUCAUCACAAUGAGGGCCAAGUGGAAGAAGAAGCGUAUGAGGAGACUUAAGAGAAAGCGCCGAAAGAUGAGACAGAGAUCUAAGUAGUUUUUGUUGUUUGGCACCAACAUUAACAAAUCUUAGUAUUAUGUUUUUUGUUAUUGUUUUUGUUUUGUAAUGGGAUUUAUAUUAAGAGAGUAAUAUGUUAUAUACUCUCUUUUAUUUUUAUCAUAUGUUAUCAUACUUUGGUUCCUUUUUGGGACCUAACUAUCUUAGUUUAUUAAUGUUGUUAUUGAUUUGAAUUAACUUGCAUUUAUAUUUAAGUAUAUCUAUUUUUUUUGUUAAAUAUGAUUUAUAAUUUUUAGAAGCGCAUUUUUUUAAGAUUGCCUGUUUUCAUUAAGGUCACAUUUUCAAAUUCUGGAGGGGAAAGAUGAGGCUGCAAUUCCAAACCUGGUAUAUACUUAAUUUUAUUGAAGUUUUUAAUAUUAUGUUAUGUUGUGUAGGAUUGUGUAUAGAAGGCUUAAUGGAAUGGAUAAUAAUUUAAAUAUGAAUAUUGAAACAUGUUAUGUCCUUGUUUUUUUAGUAUUAGUAGCACUUUAUCUAUGCUCUAUUUAAAGUAGUAUUGGAUGUUAUUUGAUGAGAUUAUGUGACUUGUUUGCAAUAAUAAAUUUCAUUAGUAGUGUGUUUUGAAGUUCAGUUUUGUAGCAUUUCUCAGUAAGUAGUAUAUAUUUAAUGUAUGAUCAAAUGAUUCUGCUUCUUAUAAUUAGUUAGCUGUGUAUUCUUUAAUCAUUGAUACAUAAUUUUCUCAUUUUGGUAGCAACCGUAAAUUGAUUCUCUCGUCCUAAUCCGAGGCUCUUUUGCGGUUCCCUUUAAGGAACAAACUAGAUUUUUUGUGAACUCGUAUUAAUCCUCUUACCUCAUGAAAUUGGAUAUAUGACUUGUAAAUGAAUUAUUAAUAAUAAAAUAUCAGUUUGUGGCAUGUUAAUUUAAGUUUAGGAGGAUUUAUAGGAGAAUAUUAUUUUCCUUAUUGCCGUCCUUCUUUUAACUCAGUGGGUCUGAUUUCAUUAUUGGUGUCUUAUGCAUCCAUUGUUGAUAACUAGUCCAUGUCCACUAUAUCACUAUAUUUGUCAGGAAGAGAUCCACUUACUUCAAGAAUGAAUGUCUAAGAUGUGGAGUAGGUUUCUGCCCUUAAGAGGGAAUGAAUCAUUUCUUAUAUUUGUGAUGUAUUUACUUGUUCCUUACUCUUUUUUGUUCCUUCCUUUUAACUAAGUUGUGUUUGUCAUGGAGAUAUUAUGGUCACAAAAAUGUUGGCACGGUCAUGAAAGAGUAUUUUUGGUUCAUAGUAAGUUGAUAAAUUGAGUUCUAAUUUUGAUAUCAUUAUGAUUACAUAUUGAAAUCAAUUAUCAACAAAAUAUUAAAUAGUGUCUAAACCAAUCAUAGAAGAAAUAGUACUUCAAGUCCAAAAUUAAAAUCUAGCUUGCCGAUUUCAGUUUUGAUUAUGGUUAAUUAUUUCAAAUACAACUCUAGGAUGAAUAUAUUGAAGUAGCAUAAAAUACAAUUUUGGAUGAAUAUAUUGAAGUAGCGUAAAAUAAUUUUUAGCUAAGCAUUUUUUGAUGAUUAUAUCAUGGAAAAUGAUAUUUAUGCAUUUGAAUGACAAAUUUAAUUAGUAACUCAUAAACUCCAUUCGUUGACAAAUUAUAAUACUAACAAAAAUGUCGAAUAGGAUGCAAGAUAAGUUGUAUAAUACCUUCAUAGAUUUUGGAAAACUUCUUUAUAAAUCACAUUUGUUGUUGACUUCAGUGGUUUAUUAUCCUUGUCAUGUAUUAAAAUCUUCAAUCCAUUUUUAAUUUGAACUCUUGACAUAGCUACGUAUAGUUGACCGUGACUGAACACUAGUCUAGGUAGAUAU